rnacentral:rRNA from 1 species
CAGUAGCCGCGGGAAUACGUAGGUGGCAAGCGUUGUCGGGAAUUAUUGGGCGUAAAGGGCUCGCAGGCGGUUUCUUAAGUCUGAUGUGAAAGCCCCCGGCUCAACCGGGGAGGGUCAUUGGAAACUGGGAAACUUGAGUGCAGAAGAGGAGAGUGGAAUUCCACGUGUAGCGGUGAAAUGCGUAGAGAUGUGGAGGAACACCAACGGCGAAAGCACUCUGCUGGGCCGACACUGACACUGAGAGACGAAAGCUAGGGGAGCAAAUGGGAUUAGAUACCCCUGUAGUCCCUGUCUCUUAUAA